CAGAGUACAAACCCUUGCCCUGUCUCUCACCAUUUUCUGCCUUCCUCCUUCUCAAUCGCUGGUUGCUGUUGUUCGUGUGAGUCACCGUCGCCAGUGUGCCUAUCGCCGUUUCGUCCGACCCAACUAUGAGUUCUUCCUCUGUUUCACCGCCAUUCCUCCGCCUCUGUCAUUGUUUCAAUACCGAGGCCGUUGUUUCUCCACUUUCAUCAGCUUCUCCGAUUGCAGCAGCAACGCGAAAUAUCUUCCCUCUUCUUCGUCGUCAUCGACUGUGAGUUGGGUGGAGCACGUCUUUUCUUCCUCUUCGGUGUUUGACAUCCAUCUCCUCUCUUCCGUUUCUGCGCUUGCUGUGGUGUGGUGCGUCGGACAUUCUCCUUCUUCGUCCUAUCUAUUGAAUGCCGCAGAUUUCUUCCUCUUCUCUGUUUCAUUGUCUUUGAACUGAGGUGAGUGGCUUCUCAUUCUUCACCUCUUGGUGAUGCCGCUUGUGUAUUUUUGUGGCUGAAGUUAUGAUUGUUGUUUUUUUUUUAUUUUAUUUUUUUGGCCUUCCCUUAUACCUUGGCAUCAAUAGGUGCGUGCAUGUCUUAAUUGGGUUGGAGCACAUUUUUUUAUAUAAGUAAUUUUAGCAUAAUCAAUGAAUUACUGAUGACGAAGAUGAUUGUGGAUUGA